CGCGGAGUAGAUCAGCCGGUUAGAUCGUCGGGUUCAUGCCCCGAAGGCCGCGGGUUCGAGUCCCGCCUCCGCCA
rnacentral:tRNA from 1 species